AACUAUGGCCAUACCACCCUGAACGCGCCUGAUCUCGUCUGAUCUCGGAAGCUAAGCAGGGUCGGGCCUGGUUAGUACUUGGAUGGGAGUCCAUUCCCUUUUAAGGUAAGGAGCUGGGGCCUGGGCUU
ensembl:rRNA 5S_rRNA 5S ribosomal RNA